rnacentral:rRNA from 1 species
UACGUAGGGGGCAAGCGUUGUCCGGAUUCAUUGGGCGUAAAGAGCGUGUAGGCGGCCAGGUAGGUCGGUUGUGAAAACUGGAGGCUCAACCUUCAGAGGUCGACCGAAACCAUCUGGCUAGAGUCCGGGAGAGGAGAGUGGAAUUCCUGGUGUAGCGGUGAAAUGCGCAGAGUAUACAGGAGGAACACCGGUGGCGAAAGGCGGGUC